rnacentral:tRNA from 1 species
GGGGAGUUAGCUCAAAUGGUAGAGCGCUUGCUUCGCAUGCGAGAGGUAGUGGGAUCGAUGCUCACAUUCUCCA